rnacentral:lncRNA from 1 species
CUCCUCGUCGUCCCACUCCAAACCUAGAGGUGGGACAACCCCAGCAUCCUGGGCGUGAACGCACCCAGCUUGAUUGUCACAUGGGGAAUAGAGACCUCGCGCCUGCCUGGCAUAGGCCAACCCAGUAAUGUUCAUUUAAAGCUGGCUUUACUAGUCCUUCUUCCACAAUGAGAGGUGACCCUUCACUUCACCGAGAAAGGAAGGAAGAAAGGUAGGUGCAGGGAGGAAGUGGUGGGGCGAGGGGAGAUGGCCUGAGUGGGGGUGAGAAGGAACGAGAAACAGGAAGGAGUCAAAUGCCUUUACUGCUUUUAAAGUGGAUUUGACGGCCAGUAGGAUUACAGGCCGGGCGCGGUGGCACACAUCUGUAAUCCCAGCACUUUGGGAGGCCAAGGGGCGUGGACUUGAGGUCAGGAGUUCAAGACCAGCCUGGCCAACAUGGUGAAAUCCUGCCUCUACUGAAAAAUACAAAAACAGGCAGGGUGUGGUGGCACACACCUGUAAUCCCAGCUAGUCAGGAGGCUGAGGCACAGGAAUCGCUUGAACCCAGGAGGCAGAGGUUGCAGUGAGCUGAGAUCACGCCACUGUACUCCAGCCUGGGCGACAGAGCGAGACUCUGUCUCAAAAAAAAAAAAAAAAAAAAAAAGAAUUAAGUUCGUCUCACCUUGUCCAAAAGCCAUGGACACAGUUGAGAUCACCUCAGGAGACCAAGGGACCAGCUCAGCAAGGGCAGGCCCCUCCCCACAACAACGGGUCCUGGAAUGUUCCAGAAACAUUUUAAAAAUUGUGUUGUAUGAUAUUUGUCAACGAACUCAGCCUCUACUGUCCCCACUCUUCUCCUGGUUGGCUGGACACAGCCGGACCCUUGGAAAGUGGGUGGGGGUAGGGAGAGUGGUCCCAGGAGUAGGGCCAAGGGCGGGAGGAAGGGGCUGAUGACAGAGGCUAUAAAUAGCCAGGCAGCUGCUUGGCAGCUGGUGCAGGGAAUUGUCUGGACGAGGGGAUGGCGUCCAGGAAGGGAACAAUGAAACGGCACCGGUCAGAGAGCAAACAGAGAAGGAGGCGGUGGGGUGAGGGCGCAGAGUCGCUCUGGUCCUUCCUCCCCGACUGGUGUGACCCUGCGCUUUUGGGGGCGCAGAGGGGAACCCUGGACAGCUCUGGAGGCAGCAGAGGGAGCCUCGUGCUUCACCUCCUUGGCCCAGAACCCACAUCUGGCUCAGGACUGGACAAAAGAAAGACAGCCUGUCACCUAAGCUUUUGCAUCGGAGGAGUCUGCCUGCUGGGGCGGUCGUGUUGUUUGCGCGUCAGUGUGGGCAAUAUUUUUAAACCCUUUAAGUUUUUGUUGGGGUGCAACUUCCAUCAGUAAAGUGCACGUAGCUCGGUGAGUUUUCACACACUGAUGCACCCAUACAGCUAUCACUCCGAACAAGAUAUACGACGUUUCUAGACGCUCAGCAGACUCCCUUUGCCGCCCA